CUAGGACUCAUGCCUUUUCCCUGCCAGCAAAGCAGGUCCAGCCUGGAUCCUCAUACCGGGGCUCUCCUGUCCUUCCUCAGGAUUCGAAAUGGGGCCAGUCACACAUUCUCCCAGCCCUGACACCUGAACCUGAGCAGCAGCUCUGUGAAGGGGGCCAGGGUCUGCUCUGGGGAGAAGGCAUGAAAUGGAGGCGGUCAACCCCUGCAAAGCCUCGAAGUGUGAGUGGCAGCCUGGCUUGAGGACGCGGACACUUAGAACCAGGACAGCGGAGUCGAGACCUGGCCCUGCCCCUUCAUAGCUGCAUGGCUUGGGAGCUCUCUCAGUCACCUACUAAAAAUGGGGAUCGUAAGAUUACAGAACAGUGAUAGCAUUAACCUAUUUUUAAGGAUCUAUAUUUAUAUACUUAGAUCAAUCUGAUAGGGUGCAGACUAAAAUAUUAAGCAUCGUCUUGAGGCGAUAGGAUAUCAGAUAUUAUUUUCUUUUUUUGCUUUAUCUGUAUUUUCUAAUUUUUCUUCAAUGAACAUUUGGAGUAAAAAAAAAACCCAAAAUGUUAAAGCAACAACCAGAUAAUUAGUACUUAAGUAUUUGUCCUGACUUACAGGACAGUUUGAGAAUGAUGUUUAUGAAAGUGGUUUACAAACUGUAAAGUUCUUUGCAA
rnacentral:lncRNA from 1 species